CCAACAGGUAAAAAGCGUGAAAUUAUUCACACAGAUACCUCACUCACUCACACUACCAUUUGCAUUCCCAUUCCCGUGAGCACAUGGCGGGGGAAAUACUUUGUGAUCGUGUGCUCGUCGUGGCUUCAGUUACAGAUACAUAGAUACUCUUCGGGCCGCCCCGAUUGUCGCGUGCUAACGUUCCAUGGAGCAGAGAUGUGUGGGGAUGUGGGAUGUGUGUGUUUGGGGUAGAUCUGUUCCGGAAAUGAUACGAGUUUUCCCAAGCAAAUACCAUAGCCAGUGCUCACUGUGGGACGCCACGAAUGAAACAUCCAAAACUUCGAUAAAAACCGAAAAAGACGCAGACGUAAACGCAGUAAAACUAACUUCCCGAUCCAGACCCGAAACCCAAGAGCAUGACAAACGAUAUUCGCGUACCAAUAGAGAUUAAGUAGGUUCUCCAGUACCAGAACCAGUACCAGUACCAUUACCCGAUGACCACUAGAAAAUAAAAUGUCAAAAGAACUCCAGACAUCACUAAUUGGACUGCUGGCCUACAAGUAAUCGAUAAUAAAUUCAGUUGAAUUCGAUUCAUUGGUCAAUGAAUGUUCGGGCCACAAACUUUUACGAUCCAGUGCGCCUGAUCAGCGGUCCUCUAGUUUAUUGCGUGGCGAUCCAUCUUUCCAUCGUGCCAUCGAGGGGAAUGCGCAUUUUCUUGUUCAUGGACUCUUGCUGCUAUGACGCCCAGAGCUCUCCACGAUACCAAAAUUGCAAGUACAAUCAUUCAUCCGUUCUUAGGCAAUUUCGAUAUCGGUACACGGCUAUCAGAUACGUAGAUUGUAUGAGUUUUUAUUUAAGUUUUUCCAUGGAACUGGUGAAUCCGUUCGCAACGGAUCCGGUAUAAUCUUUAUAAACUCGUACGUACAAUACGAGCAUGUAUGUGACCAGAUAAUAAUAUCAUAAACAUAUCGUAAUUGGCAUCGCUUUUUACGUGGAUAAGAUAUCGGACAAUGGCAUCCAUUGAAAAAAGGCUGACGACUUAUCUUUUACAAUUUAUUUCUGAUUUCCCCAAUAGGGCAAGUCGAUAGGGCUACAAGUUUUUUUUUACAAUAUAAUCUGGUAGAUAUGUACACAUGCAUAUCGGUAGAUUAUUAAUUGAACUAGACACAUUCAAAGAAAAUCCUUCAAGGGAACCUUUUUUAACGCCUUAAGUAUUGGAUGUGUAUCCUCAAUCGAUCUCCAUCUCCCUUAUCAAUCAGAGCCCAUUCCAAAACCAAUCCACAACACACGACUUGAUUACUUUUCAAUAAUAUUUUAUUUAAUGUACUUGCAUUAUAUUUAGUUAAUAACUAGAUUUGUAAAUUAUUCUCACUUGAAUGCGUCUAUAAAUUAAUUCUUAUUCGUAUCUCUCGUCGCUCCUCCUCUCAGCAUUACUAGAUAAGAAAAAAAAGGGUAUAACCGGAUAUAAAUAGGGGAAGCCGAGCCGCACACACACGUCGAUCAUUAGGGCGGGGGGACGAAUACGACUCUAUCCAAAAACAAGGUUAGCUUCGGGUAUUCGCUGGUGUGUGUGCUCUUCAAUCACGAUGCUCUAUCGCUAUGUCAGUUUAUCAGUUUAUCAAUCAGUACAGUACAUCAUUUAAUGAGUUUAUCAAAAAUUGUACAAGUGACAAAAUCUACGCUUGAAAUCGAAGAAGAAAUGACAAAAAGAAUGUCUGUAAUUUGAAUUGAAUUUGGAGUGAAAAUUGAAAUUCUGUGGAAAACAGAAUAAUUUUUCCACAGUAGCACAUGGGGAGGGGGGAGAGGCGCUCAACAAAGGGGGGACGAACGAACAGUACGAAUGAAUUAUUUUAAAUUAGCAAAUUAAUGUUAAUUAAUUACACACGAAAGAUCUAAAAACAAACAG
rnacentral:sRNA from 1 species